AAAAAAAAGGUUAUCUUUUACCAAAUUUGAUAGCCAUUUGAUAUAGCUAUGAAGUCAGUCAGCCUGCGAGGUUUUUUUUCGCCGGCAAGAUUAUGUCUAUUCCAAAUAAUUAUGACGUCGUGAAAGUCUUCAACAAAACUAUAAAAUGGUGUCCUAAUUAUUUGGACUAUAUUAUUCCAUGUUAAAUUCUCAAAAACAACAAUUAUAAUCAUACUUUUAAUAUCAUUCAAUAAAACGAAGUUGUCAAUACCA
rnacentral:lncRNA from 1 species